rnacentral:rRNA from 1 species
AUUGAACGCUGGCGGCAGGCCUAACACAUGCAAGUCGAACGAGUGGCGGACGGGUGAGUAAUGUCUGGGAACCUGCCCGAUGGAGGGGGAUAACUACUGGAAACGGUAGCUAAUACCGCCUACCAUCGGAUGUGCCCAGAUGGGAUUAUCUAGUAGGUGGGGUAACGGCUCACCUAGGCGACGAUCCCUAGCUGGUCUGAGAGGAUGACCAGACACACUGGAACUGAGGCACGGUCCAGAAUCCUACGGGGGGAAGCAGUGGGGAAUAUUGCACAAUGGGCGCAAGCCUGAUACAGCCAUGCCGCGUGUAUGAAGAAGGCCUUCGGGUUGUAAAGUACUUUCAGCGAGGAGGCGUUACUCGCAGAAGAAGCACCGGCUAACUCCGUGCCAGCAGCCGCGGUAAUUC